rnacentral:tRNA from 1 species
ACGGGCAUAGCUCAACUGGUAGAGCACUGGACUCCAAAUCCAGGUGCUGGGGGUUCAAGUCCUCCUGCCCGUG